rnacentral:sRNA from 1 species
AGCGAGAGAGCGUCAGCGAGAGAGCGUCAGCGAGAGAGCGUCAGCGAGAGAGCGUUGCCGCAGGCAACGACCCGAAGGGCGAAGCGCGCAGCGCUGAGUAAUCCUUCCCCCACCACCA